rnacentral:lncRNA from 1 species
CAGGUGAGCAGGAGGGGAAUCACCCUGCCAGCAGCACAGGGCAGCAGCCCGCUCCCACCCUGGGCAGGGUGAUUCCUCGGGUCGUUGGGGGACCUGUGGGCCUCUGUGAGGGGCAGAGCUGUGCUCUGUGUGCAGCACCACCUCCACGCACUCCUGCCCUUUUCUCCUUUUUCGCUGAAAGUCCUCUCCAGUAUGCUGCAGUUGGCUGAAGCUGCACUGCCAGGUUAGAGGUUUUUCCAUCACACCGCGUGAGCUGGUAGGAGUUGUUGGGUCUGCACUGCUGUGGACAUUGAGAAGCACAAUCUCUCCUCAGAGUUUCAUAAAUCUGUCAGGAAUUGGUAAGGAAGAUGGGGAUGUGAUGCCCCUUCCCGCUGACUGUGGGACGUGAAAUCAAACAGAAGAAGGCACUGAAGGAGAAAGCAUCGCACUGAAGGGUGUGUUUGAAUGAAAGUGCUUCCUCUUGCUUUACCUUCACUGCACAAGUUCUGCAUUAUUUAAUUGCAAAUUAAAGAAUGAGAGGAGCAGCGUUGGGCAGAAGUGCGUGAAGGAUUUGUUAAUAGGAACAAGCAGAGCUCUGCUUUUCUCUCCCCCUGUGCAGUUUGGAAUAUGCCCUGUGGUCUCAAUAACACUGAGCUGUGUGUGCUUCUGGCUA